rnacentral:pre_miRNA from 1 species
CAAAUACUCCCUCCGUCCGGAAAUACUUGUCAUCAAAAUGGAUAAAAGGAAAUGUAUCUAGACGUAUUUUAGUUUUAGAUACAUCUAUUUUUAUCCAUUUUGACGACAAGUAUUUUCGGACGAAGGGAGUAGAAA